UACGUAGGGUGCAAGCGUUAAUCGGAAUUACUGGGCGUAAAGCGUGCGCAGGCGGUUUUGUAAGUCUGUUGUGAAAUCCCCGGGCUCAACCUGGGAAUUGCGAUGGAGACUGCAAGGCUAGAAUCUGGCAGAGGGGGGUAGAAUUCCACGUGUAGCAGUGAAAUGCGUAGAGAUGGGGAGGAACACCGAUGGCGAAGGCAGCCCCCUGGGUCAAGAUUGACGCUCAUGCACGAAAGCGUGGGGAGCAAACAGG
rnacentral:rRNA from 1 species